AACGAACGCUGGCGGCAUGCCUAACACAUGCAAGUCGAACGAGACCUUCGUGUCUAGUGGCGCACGGGUGCGUAACGCGUGGUAACCUGCCCUUAGGUUCGGAAUAACUCCCCGAAAGGUGUGCUAAUACCGGAUAAUGUCUUCGGACCAAAGAUUUAUCGCCAUUGGAUGGGCGCGCGUUGGAUUAGUUAGUUGGUAGGGUAAAAGCCUACCAAGGCGACGAUCCAUAGCUGGUCUGAGAGGAUGACCAGCCACACUGGGACUGCGACACGGCCUAGACUCCUACGGAAGGGAGCAGUGGGGAGUAUUGGGCGAUGAGCGAAGGCCUAAUCCAGCAAUGUGGCGUGAGUGAUGAAGGGCUUAGGGUUGUAAAGCCCUUUUACACGGGAUGAUAAUGACAGUACCGGGAGAAUAAGCUCCGGCUAACUCCGUG
rnacentral:rRNA from 1 species